rnacentral:rRNA from 1 species
GACGAACGCUGGCGGUGUGCUUAACACAUGUAAGUCGAACGGUAAGGCCCUUCGGGGUACACGAGUGGCGAACGGGUGAGUAACGCGGGGGUGAUCUGCCCUGCACUUCGGGAUAAGCCUGGGAAACUGGGUCUAAUACCGGAUAGGACUCCGGACUGCAUGGUCUGGGGUGGAAAGCUUUUGCGGUGUGGGAUGGGUCCGCGGCCUAUCAGCUUGUUGGUGGGGUGAUGGCCUACCAAGGCGACGACGGGUAGCCGGCCUGGGAGGGUGACCGGCCAAACUGGGACUGAGAUACGGCCCAGACUCCUACGGGGGGCAGCAGUGGGGAAUAUUGCACAAUGGGCGCAAGCCUGAUGCAGCGACGCCGCGUGAGGGAUGACGGCCUUCGGGUUGUAAACCUCUUUCAGCAUCGACGAAGCGAAAGUGACGGUAGGUGCAGAAGAAGGACCGGCCAACUACGUGCCAGCCGCCGCAGUAA